rnacentral:rRNA from 1 species
GACGAACGCUGGCGGCGUGCCUAAUACAUGCAAGUUGAGCGCUGAAGGUUGGUACUUGUACCAACUGGAUGAGCAGCGAACGGGUGAGUAACGCGUGGGGAAUCUGUCUUUGAGCGGGGGACAACAUUUGGAAACGAAUGCUAAUACCGCAUAAAAACUUUAAACACAAGUUUUAAGUUUGAAAGAUGCAAUUGCAUCACUCAAAGAUGAUCCCGCGUUGUAUUAGCUAGUUGGUGAGGUAAAGGCUCACCAAGGCGAUGAUACAUAGCCGACCUGAGAGGGUGAUCGGCCACAUUGGGACUGAGACACGGCCCAAACUCCUACGGGAGGCAGCAGUAGGGAAUCUUCGGCAAUGGACGAAAGUCUGACCGAGCAACGCCGCGUGAGUGAAGAAGGUUUUCGGAUCGUAAAACUCUGUUGGUAGAGAAGAACGUUGGUGAGAGUGGAAAGCUCAUCAAGUGACGGUAACUACCCAGAAAGGGACGGCUAACUACGUG